GAUGAACGCUGGCGGCGUGCCUAAUACAUGCAAGUCGAGCGAACGGACGAGAAGCUUGCUUCUCUGAUGUUAGCGGCGGACGGGUGAGUAACACGUGGAUAACCUACCUAUAAGACUGGGAUAACUUCGGGAAACCGGAGCUAAUACCGGAUGAUAUUUUGAACCGCAUGGUUCAAUAGUGAAAGACGGUCUUGCUGUCACUUAUAGAUGGAUCCGCGCUGCAUUAGCUAGUUGGUAAGGUAACGGCUUACCAAGGCAACGAUGCAUAGCCGACCUGAGAGGGUGAGCGGCCACACGGGAACCGAGACACGGUCCAGACUCCUACGGGAGGCAGCAGUAGGGAAUCUGCCGCAAUGGGCUAAAGCCUGACGGAGCAACGCAGCGUGAGUGAUGAAGGUCUUCGGAUCGUAAAACUCUGUUAUUAGGGAAGAACAAAUGUGUAAGUAACUAUGCACGUCUUGACGGUACCUAAUCAGAAAGCCAGGGCUAACUACGUG
rnacentral:rRNA from 1 species